GGAACUAUAGUCUAUAAAGACGUAUGAUUUGCACUCAUAAAAUGUUUAACUUAAACUAGUUUCA
rnacentral:tRNA from 1 species